UGUUUAUUAAACUAACCUGCAGUUGCCUCCUUGGACCUAUUGGUCGAGCUCCUCCCUUGGGUGGCCGUACCCACUGGGAACCAUGGAGUUGGUUCUCACCCCACGUUGUUUUGGGGUGUUACAGGUUCGCACGUGAGCGGCGCGGCGGCGCGAGGCAAGGGCGUAGCUCCAUAGAUAGCGCCCUACCCCAGAGACCAGAAAUAGCGGUACCCCGAGUCGGCAUAGCCUAGGGGUAGAGGGAAAUGAAAAGAAAACAAUGUAUCAAACCUGUAAUAUUAAUUGUAAUAACUUAAUUGCAUUCGGAGGUUGUAUGUAAUGAAAAAUGUAAAAUGUUUGAAUGUGAAUGCUUGUAAUAACAUAGGAUGUGUUAUGUUUUUGAUACCUCCCCCUAUGCAAUCUUGAUUGAUAACUGUUCCUGGUUGGAACCCUUGUAAUGUUCAUUGUAUUGAUUGCGACGCCUAGGACGUACAGGGGAAACUCUGUCCGUUCGGCGGUCUGUCGGCGGCGCCGCGACCUCGGCCAA
rnacentral:lncRNA from 1 species